GACGUAGGGCGCGAGCGUUGUCCGGAUUUAUUGGGCGUAAAGAGCUCGUAGGCGGCUUGUUGCGUCGACCGUGAAAACCCGGGGCUCAACCUCGGAUCGGCCGUGGCGACUCGUGGGCUGGAGCACUGUAGAGGCGGGUGGAAUUCCGGGUGUAGCGGUGGAAUGCGUAGAGAUCCGGAAGAACACCAGUGGCGAAGGCGGCCCGCUGGGCAGUGGCUGACGCUGAAGCGCGACAGCGUGGGGAGCAAACAGG
rnacentral:rRNA from 1 species